AAUGGGCUCCACUCUCGGACCCGGCUCAAGCACGGCCCCGCCAGGAGGCUAGCCAGAGAAGAGGACCGAGCAUCUGACACCUCAUCUCCUCUGGGGAAUAUUGUUCUAUUGAUCAAAGGGCUCCGAGGAGCUGGAGAGAUUUAUCUCUAUAGACAUGCAGAUUUCUGCAAAGGGAAGAGGAGCCACUGGGCGGCCUAAAAGGGGGGAAGGAGAUGGUGGUUAAGGUGUUUAAGGAAAAAAACCAGGGGAGAACGUUACCUCCAAAGCACUGAACUAUUGAAGCCCGACCAAGGCAGGAUAGUGGGCGGGUGCGGGGGCAAGUAGAGGAGGGGGAAAUGGAGACUCAACCCCCGAUCUUGGAAUCACCCGGGCACUCUGAAGCUUGAGGAAGGGAUUCUUUGGCACUGCGGAUUCCGGGAAGCGUUCUCCGAGCCCCAACCUGAGUCCUCCCCACCCGUUUCCCCGGAAAACCGUCGGUUCGUUCUGAAGAGUUUGGCUUCCCUCAGGGCCAUUAAAGCCAUCUUUCCAGCCUUGGUCGCUCCCCAACCAGUCCUGGCCCCGCACCCGGCUGGAGAGGGUCAAUCCUGCGCCCCGGCUCCUCUACGCACACAGCUCCCCCUCUCCCCUGCUACCGCCGGGGCUGUUGGGGGGAGGGGUUGGAGCAAGUGGAGAGGUCCCUUUGCCCUCCCAUUUUCUUACCUGGACGACCAAAAGGGCUGUGGCCUGAUUGUCCACGUGCACCUCAGUGUUCUCCUCGGUAACUGUGAGUGACAGCCCGCCUGUGAAGAUCGUAGGGGUUUCGGAGCCCACUCCCUGUGAAGGCAGCUCUGGAUGAGUGUCAUCGGGAGUUGUACCGUUUCUAUACCUGGAGAGUUGCCAGAAGAGAAUGAAGGAAGAUUGAUAAAAGGCAGAACUGAAAUAACAGCCACUCAGACAGG